GAAACGCGAUAAGUAGUGUGAAUUGCAGAAUUCAGUGAAUCAUCGAAUCUUUGAACGCACAUGGCGCCCCCCGGCAUCCCGGGGGGCAUGCCUGUCCGAGCGUCGUUUCAACCCUCGGGCCCGUCUUCGUGGCCCGGCGUUGGGGACCUACGCCCCGCCGUAGGCCCCGAAAAGCAGUGGCGGACCCGCGCCGGCCCCCCCUUGCGUAGUAGCAUCAGCCUCGCAUCGGGAGCCCGCGGGCGUCUCCGGCCUCUAAACCCCCCCAAAGACCGCCCCCCGGCGGCACCAAAGGUUGACCUCGGAUCAGGUAGGAAUACCCGCUGAACUUAA
rnacentral:misc_RNA from 1 species